rnacentral:rRNA from 1 species
GCCAAACAGCUAGCUCGACCAUAAAGAUAGAACUGACAACAUUAGCCAACCUAGCACAGAAUAAAUGCAUUAACUAAACCAUUCUACCCCCCCAGUACGGGCGACGGAAAAGGGCCAACGAAGCCAUAGACAAA